UCUAUAAGCCAGCCUCCCUCUCUAGCUCUCUCUCACACUCGCUUGUUAUGUUGUUUUCCCAUUGAUAGUUUGCUCCCAAAAUCAUGUUGUUGCUUUAUUUAUUUGAAAAAGAAAAACACAUGGAAGGAGGAGAAAUGGAGGACUUAAACAAUUAUGGGCACCACCAUCCUCUACUACUUCUGUCGAACAAAAAGCAGCUCAUCACCAAUCAAAGAGGACUAGUAGCUGACUGCUCCAGGUGUGAGAAGAAGGUGUCUGUUCGAUGUUUUCGCUAUGCCGAGGACUGUGGGUUUUACCUUCACAAGGUAUGUGCCGACGCACCUUUUGAGCUUAAUCAUCCUUUCCAUCAUAAUCACCCUCUUAUUCUGAUACAAAAGUCACCUUAUUCAUCUGGAGAGUACAUUUGCCAUUUUUUUGAUAAAACGGGUGAGAAGUUCGUUUAUCAUUGCUCGUGUGGUUUGGACUUUCAUAUUAAAUGUGAUUUGUUUACAUUUGAUAUUGCUCAAAAUAAUUUGAAAGAGCUUCAGCAUGUUGCCCUUGAAGAUCCGUUGAUUUCCGCUAAAAAAGAUGAUGAACAACUUGAUGAUUAUAGAAAGUGUUUUGGGUGUUGGGAACCAUUAGCAAAUUAUACAUACUUCUCUCCUGACUGUGGAUUUAAUUUACACAAGAAAUGUUCUGAACUUCCUCUCAAAUUGAAUCAUAUGUGCCAUCGCAAACAUCGUAUUGUUCUGCAAUUUAAA